GAUGAACGCUGGCGGCGUGCCUAAUACAUGCAAGUCGAGCGAACGGACGAGAAGCUUGCUUCUCUGAUGUUAGCGGCGGACGGGUGAGUAACACGUGGAUAACCUACCUAUAAGACUGGGAUAACUUCGGGAAACCGGAGCUAAUACCGGAUAAUAUUUUGAACCGCAUGGUUCAAAAGUGAAAGACGGUCUUGCUGUCACUUAUAGAUGGAUCAGCGCUGCAUUAGCUAGUUGGUAAGGUAACGGCUUACCAAGGCAACGAUGCAUAGCCGACCUGAGAGGGUGAUAGGCCACACUGGAACUGAGACACGGUCAAGACUCCUACGGGAGGCAGCAGUAGGGAAUCUUCCGCAAUGGGCGAAAGCCUGACGGAGCAACGCCGCGUGAGUGAUGAAGGUCUUCGGAUCGUAAAACUCUGUUAUUAGGGAAGAACAUAUGUGUAAGUAACUGUGCACAUCUUGACGGUACCUAAUCAGAAAGCCACGGCUAACUACGUG
rnacentral:rRNA from 1 species